rnacentral:misc_RNA from 1 species
AAAAAAAAAUAUGUAUAAACCCAUUACAACCAGCUGACGGGAGGAGAAAGUUUCCUCCCGUACAACCUGCUGCACCUUUUCAUUUCAUUUUUUACAAUAAGAUUCGGCUAAUCAAUGGCGGAGAGUUCCAGAGGUUUAUGUAAUUAUGAAAAUAUGAUUCCAUCGUCCGAAGCGACAAGAAGCAGACCAGAAGUUCAUCGGAGGACCAUGAGAAUUAAUGAAAAAGGAAUUGUUUUGUGCAUAAAUUUGAAGCUGUAAGAAACUGACCUUCUAUUCUACCACCGGUACAACAAUUAUGACAGCAAAACAUUUCCGUAGCUGCCUCAUUCCUACGUUCUAAUAUGUAACGAGCUAUACAGGUAAAAAUAACACAACCGCUAUUGUAAUUCUUACGUCACUACUUUAUUUUUUGAGAACACGAAUACAGGCAUUGCGCAUCGGGCAUGCUUUUGCAGUUUACAAACUUUUCGAUAAUUUUUUACCCUAGAAUUAUCGGUCUCUUGAAGGCUCCGCAAACCGGCAGAUACGAACACGUUCUGUUCCUGUAUCUACUGUCAAAUGUCAACUAGCUACUAGGACAUCAUCUACGUGAAAUGUCGAAGUUCUCCGAAGUUCCCCCACUUUAUUACACCGAAGUUCCUCUCACAAUCUGCGGUUCCUCGUGUCUUUGCCAGAAAAGGUCGCAUCGGAUGAAAUGAUGGUUUUUUUUCUACCUUCCAAUUCCAAAUUUCUAAUCCAACCCAAAGAAUAUUACAACUUAUAUUAUUUAGGCAACUAAAAUUCUGCCGCUGCGAGUACCGUCUGUAGAUUUGAUCGUGUACGUGUGAAAGUAGAAAGCAUUGAAAACGGAUAUUUUGUUGUCGAGACCAAAAAUUAGGAUUUCAAGGUCAAAAGGUUGACACCCUUACGAAGUACACCCAAAAGGAAC